rnacentral:rRNA from 1 species
GGAUCCAGACUUUGAUCAUGGCUCAGGAUGAACGCUAGCUACAGGCUUAACACAUGCAAGUCGAGGGGAAACGAUAGAGAAAGCUUGCUUUUUCUAGGCGUCGACCGGCGCACGGGUGAGUAACGUGUAUCCAACCUGCCCAUCACUUGGGGAUAACCUUGCGAAAGUAAGACUAAUACCCAAUGAUAUCUCAAGAAGACAUCUGAAUGAGAUUAAAGAUUUAUCGGUGAUGGAUGGGGAUGCGUCUGAUUAGCUUGUUGGCGGGGUAACGGCCCACCAAGGCGACGAUCAGUAGGGGUUCUGAGAGGAAGGUCCCCCACAUUGGAACUGAGACACGGUCCAAACUCCUACGGGAGGCAGCAGUGAGGAAUAUUGGUCAAUGGGCGAGAGCCUGAACCAGCCAAGUAGCGUGCAGGAAGACGGCCCUAUGGGAUGUAAACUGCUUUUAUAAGGGAAUAAAGUGAGCCUCGUGAGGCUUUUUGCAUGUACCUUAUGAAUAAGGACCGGCUAAUUCCGUGCCAGCAGCCGCGGUAAUACGGAAGGUCCGGGCGUUAUCCGGAUUUAUUGGGUUUAAAGGGAGCGUAGGCCGGAGAUUAAGCGUGUUGUGAAAUGUAGAUGCUCAACAUCUGCACUGCAGCGCGAACUGGUUUCCUUGAGUACGCACAAAGUGGGCGGAAUUCGUGGUGUAGCGGUGAAAUGCUUAGAUAUCACGAAGAACUCCGAUUGCGAAGGCAGCUCACUGGAGCGCAACUGACGCUGAAGCUCGAAAGUGCGGGUAUCGAACAGGAUUAGAUACCCUGGUAGUCCGCACGGUAAACGAUGGAUGCCCGCUGUUGGUCUGAAUAGGUCAGCGGCCAAGCGAAAGCAUUAAGCAUCCCACCUGGGGAGUACGCCGGCAACGGUGCAACUCAAAGGAAUUGACGG